rnacentral:rRNA from 1 species
AGAGUUUGAUCCUGGCUCAGCCUGAACGCUGGCGGCGUGGCUAAGACAUGCAAGUCGCACGGGCGUAGCAAUACGCCAGUGGCGCACGGGUGAGUAAUGUAUCGCUAACGUACCCUUAGGUUUGGGAUAGCUAACCGAAAGGUUAGGUAAUACCAGAUGACAUACCCUGGCGGCAUCGCCGGGGUCUCAAAGCCGCAAGGCACCUUUGGAGCGGGCGAUAUCGUAUCAGGUAGUUGGUGCGGGUAACGGCCCACCAAGCCGACGACGCGUAGCUGGUCUGAGAGGACGGCCAGCCACAUCGGGACUGAGACACUGCCCGGACUCCUACGGGGGGCUGCAGUAACGAAUCUUCCGCAAUGCACGAAAGUGUGACGGAGCGACGCCGCGUGUGGGACGAAGUCCUUCGGGAUGUAAACCACUGUCAGGGGUUACCAAGUUCUGAGGAACCCCAGAGGAAGGCACGGCUAACUCUGUGCCAGCAGCCGCGGUAAGACAGAGGUGCCGAGCGUUAGGCGGAAUCACUGGGCUUAAAGCGUGUGUAGGCGGCGGCGUAAGUACCUUGUGAAAUCCCACGGCUCAACCGUGGAACUGCUCGGUAUACUGCGUCGCUUGAGCCAGCUAGGGGCAACCGGAACAAACGGUGGAGCGGUGAAAUGCGUAGAUAUCGUUCGGAACGCCGAUGGUGAAAACAGGUUGCUGGGGCUGCGCUGACGCUGAGACACGAAAGCCAGGGGAGCGAACGGGAUUAGAUACCCCGGUAGUCC